AAGUUGCUGCAUGCUACACUCUAACAAAAGAUGGUGUAGAGAGUACUGCACAAGUUAGUCGAGUAUUAGUGAAAAUAAUAAAUGAUGGAGCAUCGUGUUAACUUGCAGCUUCAGUCUUUUCAAGCCGAGGACAUCAAGCAGGAUUAUGAUACUGGAAAGGAUAAUGUUACAAUGGUCACUUUUAAAGUUGAUUUUGAUAAGGCAGAAAGUUUGGAAGAAGCUCUAAAGGCUAAUUGUAGCCGUGAUAUUGUGUUCUACCGGCGCUGAACCCACUUCCUUCGUUACGAUCUCAUCACGAUUUGAAUUAGAAUGUUUUGGCUAUGCAUGAUAUAGCUUUCUCAAGGUGCAUUAAUAAACACAUACUCUCUCACACACACACAUACACACACACACGGUAUGUAUCAUCCAGAGAGAUGGAAGUUUGGGGCCUUUGGGCAGAGCAAGAAAAAUCUCCUUGGACACUGUUGAACAAGAAAUAAAUAAAUAGGAUAUCUCAAUGAUAGUUACAACACAAUCUGACCAGACAGAAUACAACACAGUAACUCAACCCUCGAAGAAUACUACAGGAAUAGCUAAUACUUAACAUCAGUACAGUGAAAGAAAAUCAUACAAUAGAAUAGAACCCAUACUGAAAAGGAUGAGCUGAAUAAGGGCGGAAAAUCCCUAGGCCUAGUUUGAUGGUGGUGGGGAGGGGAACGGGAAGGAAGGAAUUGCAGUGGGGAUGGUUGGCAGUGGGUUGGCUGGCAAUGGAGGCAGCACAGCUCUGGGUAUGGUUGGCAUUGUUGGCAAUGUGGGCUUUGGCAGGGAUGGGAUAGUUGGCAGAGGGAUGCUAGGGAGUGGCGGCAUUGUGGUGGUUGGCAUGGCUGGAUUAGUCGGCAGAGUUGGCAUGGCCGGAUUAGUUGGCAGAGGGAUGUUAGGGAGCGGCGGCAUUGUGGUGGUUGGCAUGGCUGGAUUAGUCGGCAGAGUUGGCAUUGGCAGAGGGAUGCUAGGGAGCGGCGGCAUUGUGGUGGUUGGCAUGGUGGGCAGUGGUGGCAGUGUGGCCUUAGGGAGCGGUGGAAUAGUCGGCAACCCUGGUUGAGAAGUUUGCAGUAGGUGGCGCGCCGCCCAACUUACAUGGAGGCUUGAGAGUGAGACAACCAUGAUGAGAGAGAGAAGCAGGUGAAAGUUGCAGGCUGCCAUUGAUGGAUAGCUUUGAGUUGUGAUAGUGGUGAGAUUUGAUUUGAAAGAAAGCUUGAU